UCCAGGUUACCCUGGCAGUCUAUUCAAAGUUCUCAACUAAAUGGUAGCAACUGAAUAUGAGGGUUGCGUUCGUUCUAGCACUUAAGCAUACGCUUCACAGCACGAACUGACGACGACCAUGCACCACCUGUGUCGGGAUAACCUCUGUUGAGUUUCUUCAACAUUGCCCUUCAUGUCAAGCCUUGGUAAGGUUUUGCGCGUUGUAUCGAAUUAAACCACAUGCUCCACCGCUUGUGCGAGUCCCCGUCAAUUCCUUUGAGUUUUAGCCUUGCGACCGUACUACCCAGGCGGAGCAUUUAAAGCGUUAGCUGCGACACUAAGCAUAACACCUAAUGUCUAAUGCUCAUCGUUUAGGGCGUGGACUAC
rnacentral:misc_RNA from 1 species